GGGUUGUGAGGUUAAGCGACUAAGCGUACACGGUGGAUGCCCUGGCAGUCAGAGGCGAUGAAGGGCGUGCUAAUCUGCGAUAAGCGCCGGUAAGGUGAUAUGAACCGUUAUAACCGGCGAUACCCGAAUGGGGAAACCCAGUGUGAUUCGUCACACUAUCAUUAACUGAAUCCAUAGGUUAAUGAGGCGAACCGGGGGAACUGAAACAUCUAAGUACCCCGAGGAAAAGAAAUCAACCGAGAUUCCCCCAGUAGCGGCGAGCGAACGGGGAGGAGCCCAGAGCCUGAAUCAGCAUGUGUGUUAGUGGAAGCGUCUGGAAAGGCGCGCGAUACAGGGUGACAGCCCCGUACACAAAAGCGCAUGUGCUGUGAGCUCGAUGAGUAGGGCGGGACACGUGGUAUCCUGUCUGAAUAUGGGGGGACCAUCCUCCAAGGCUAAAUACUCCUGACUGACCGAUAGUGAACCAGUACCGUGAGGGAAAGGCGAAAAGAACCCCGGCGAGGGGAGUGAAAAAGAACCUGAAACCGUGUACGUACAAGCAGUGGGAGCACCCUUUGGGUGUGACUGCGUACCUUUUGUAUAAUGGGUCAGCGACUUAUAUUCUGUAGCAAGGUUAACCGAAUAGGGGAGCCGGAGGGAAACCGAGUCUUAAUUGGGCGUUAAGUUGCAGGGUAUAGACCCGAAACCCGGUGAUCUAGCCAUGGGCAGGUUGAAGGUUGGGUAACACUAACUGGAGGACCGAACCGACUAAUGUUGAAAAAUUAGCGGAUGACCUGUGGCU
rnacentral:rRNA from 1 species